GUGAGGAAUAUUGGUCAAUGGGCGAGGGCCUGAACCAGCCAAGUCGCGUGAAGGAAGAAGGAUCUAUGGUUCGUAAACUUCUUUUGCAGGGGAAUAAAGUGCGGGACGUGUCCUGUUUUGUAUGUACCCUGAGAAUAAGGAUCGGCUAACUCCGUGCCAGCAGCCGCGGUAAUACGGAGGAUCCGAGCGUUAUCUGGAUUUAUUGGGUUUAAAGGGUGCGUAGGUGGUUUGAUAAGUCAGCGGUGAAAGUUUGCAGCUUAACUGUAAAAAUGCCGUUGAAACUGUCGGACUUGAGUGUAAAUGAGGUAGGCGGAAUGCGUGGUGUAGCGGUGAAAUGCAUAGAUAUCACGCAGAACUCCGAUUGCGAAGGCAGCUUACUAAGCUACAACUGACACUGAAGCACGAAAGCGUGGGGAUCAAACAGGAUUAGAAACCCGAGUAGUCC
rnacentral:rRNA from 1 species